rnacentral:tRNA from 1 species
UCCAAUGUGGUCUAGUGGCUAGGAUUUGUCGCUCUCACAAAGUGCCGACAAGGCCGGGGUUCGAUUCCCCGCAUUGGAA